GCCAGGCGUGGUGGUGCGCGCCUGUACUCCCAGUUACUCCGGAGGCUGAGGCUGGAGGAUCGCUUGAACCCAGGAGGUGGAGGUCGCAGUGGGCCCCAUGAUGGUGCCACUGCACUCCAGCCUGGGUGACAAAGUGAGACUCUGUCUCAA
ensembl:misc_RNA Metazoa_SRP Metazoan signal recognition particle RNA